rnacentral:rRNA from 1 species
AGGUGGUUUUGUUUAAGUCAGAUGUGAAAGCCCGGGGCUCAACCUCGGAAUUGCAUUUGAAACUGGCAAACUAGAGUACUGUAGAGGGGGGUAGAAUUUCAGGUGUAGCGGUGAAAUGCGUAGAGAUCUGAAGGAAUACCGGUGGCGAAGGCGGCCCCCCUGGACAGAUACUGACACUCAGAUGCGAAAGCGUGGGGAGCAAACAGGAUUAGAUACCCGGGUAG